rnacentral:tRNA from 2 species
GGCGGAGUAGCUCAGCUGGUUAGAGCAUACGGUUCAUACCCGUAGGGUCGGGGGUUCGAGUCCCUCCUCCGCUACCA